rnacentral:tRNA from 1 species
GCCGAGGUGGCGAAAUGGCAGACGCGUCGGUCUCAAAAACCGAUAGGGUUACACCUAUGAGGGUUCAACUCCCUCCCUCGGCACCA